AAGCUUUGGAACAACUGCUCGCUAGAGCAGACAGAGCAGAAGGCCCAGGAAGAGAAGAUGACACAAAGAUCUAGAGAGGGGAAGCAGCUUGUUCAAGAGGAUCUAAGUCAAUGUCACAAAGAAGUUAUUUAAAUGAAAGAGGACGAUAAAAGGAAAGAGAGAG